rnacentral:rRNA from 1 species
GACGAACGCUGGCGGCGUGCCUAAUACAUGCAAGUAGAACGCUGAAGACUUUAGCUUGCUAGAGUUGGAAGAGUUGCGAACGGGUGAGUAACGCGUAGGUAACCUGCCUAUUAGUGGGGGAUAACUUUUGGAAACGAUAGCUAAUACCGCAUAAUAGUGUUUAACACAUGUUAGAGACUUAAAAGAUGCAAUUGCAUCACUAGUAGAUGGACCUGCGUUGUAUUAGCUAGUUGGUGGGGUAACGGCCUACCAAGGCGACGAUACAUAGCCGACCUGAGAGGGUGAUCGGCCACACUGGGACUGAGACACGGCCCAGACUCCUACGGGAGGCAGCAGUAGGGAAUCUUCGGCAAUGGGGGCAACCCUGACCGAGCAACGCCGCGUGAGUGAAGAAGGUUUUCGGAUCGUAAAGCUCUGUUGUAAGAGAAGAACGUGUGUGAGAGUGGAAAGUUCACACAGUGACGGUAACUUACCAGAAAGGGACGGCUAACUACGUGCCAGCAGCCGCGGUAAUACGUAGGUCCCGAGCGUUGUCCGGAUUUAUUGGGCGUAAAGCGAGCGCAGGCGGUUUAAUAAGUCUGAAGUUAAAGGCAGUGGCUUAACCAUUGUUCGCUUUGGAAACUGUUAAACUUGAGUGCAGAAGGGGAGAGUGGAAUUC